rnacentral:rRNA from 1 species
CGGAGGAAAAGAAACCAACAGGGAUUGCCCUAGUAACGGCGAGUGAAGCGGCAACAGCUCAAAUUUGAAAUCUGGCGCAAGCCCGAGUUGUAAUUUGUAGAGGAUGCUUCUGGGUAGCGACCGGUCUAAGUUCCUUGGAACAGGACGUCAUAGAGGGUGAGAAUCCCGUAUGUGACCGGCCCGCACCCUUUACGUAGCUCCUUCGACGAGUCGAGUUGUUUGGGAAUGCAGCUCUAAAUGGGAGGUAAAUUUCUUCUAAAGCUAAAUACCGGCCAGAGACCGAUAGCGCACAAGUAGAGUGAUCGAAAGAUGAAAAGUACUUUGGAAAGAGAGUUAAAAAGCACGUGAAAUUGUUGAAAGGGAAGCGCCUGCAAUCAGACUUCGCGGCAGUGUUCCGCCGGUCUUCUGACCGGUUUAUUCUCUGUCGCGAGGCCAUCAUCGUCUCGGCCCGCUGGAUAAGACCUUGGGAAUGUAGCUCACCUUCGGGGGAGUGUUAUAGCUCAUGGUGAUGCAGCGAGGCUGGGGCGAGGUCCGCGC